rnacentral:rRNA from 1 species
UGUGUAGGCUGUUCUCUAAGUUUGGUGUGAAAUCUCCCGGCUUAACUGGGAGGGUGCGCCGAAAACUGGAGGGCUUGAGUAUGGGAGAGGAAAGCGGAAUUCCUGGUGUAGCGGUGAAAUGCGUAGAUAUCAGGAGGAACACCUGCGGUGUAGACGGCUUUCUGGACCAUCACUGACGCUGAGACACGAAAGCGUGGGGAGCAAACAGGAUUAGAUACCCUGGUAGUCCACGCCCUAAACGAUGCAUACUUGGUGUGAGCCGUUCAUUCGGUUCGUGCCGGAGCUAACGCGUUAAGUAUGCCGCCUGGGGAGUACGGUCGCAAGGCUGAA